rnacentral:rRNA from 1 species
UACGUAGGGGGCUAGCGUUGUCCGGAUUUAUUGGGCGUAAAGAGCGUGUAGGCGGCUAGGUAGGUCCGUUGUGAAAACUCGAGGCUCAACCUCGAGCUGUCGAUGGAAACCAUCUGGCUAGAGUCCGGAAGAGGAGAGUGGAAUUCCUGGUGUAGCGGUGAAAUGCGUAGAUAUCGGGAGGAACACCAGUGGCGAAGGCGGCAUCCUGGACCGAGAUUGACGCUGAGGCGCGAAAGCCAGGGGAGCAAACGGG